AAUUUGAAGAAACAAGGAAUUUGGAGACAAACUCAUGAUGCUAUAGAUUCACCGAUGAUGCAACUGCCUUGUUUGCCAUGAAAUUAUCAUGUAUCUCAGAGGAUACAGUAUGCAAAGACAAAAUCUUAUAUUAUAGCAAAAGCUGAUGGUACCUUCGUUCUGCGAGAAAGACGAAAGUGGCAUGAAGAAAGAGGUGGACACCUCUGGCUGACAUCAAAAGUCUCUUUGAUCCAACUUUCUGUCCAUGGCCGAGGAAGAUAGGUAACAUCAUGUGGAAGAGUGCUAGGGCGGCAAUAAUCUGGGUAGUGUGGGAAGAAAGAAAUGCAAGAAUUUUUAGAAAAAAAGAAAAGAACAAAAGAGGCCUUGAUUGAAUCAAUACUGAUUAGAGUGGCUCAAUGGCUGAAAUACUUAGAAAGCUUCUCACAUAUAUCCACUGAUGACAUCAUUAGAAACUUGAAGGUAGUGGCACUCUCAAAUGUCAAUAAGCAGCCUGUUAUUCCUAUCUGGGACCCUCCUGAAAGAGGAUUUAUAAAGCUUAACUUUGACGGAAGUAGCAUGGGAAACCCAGGAAGAUCAGGAAUUGGAGGUGUAUUCAAGGAUGAGGAGAGUAAAGUGUGAGCAUUAUUCUCAGGCCCAGCAGGUGAAGGAGACUCACUAAGAGCGGAAGUAAUGGCAGUUAUGGAAGGGAUGCAAAGGGCUAGAACCAUGAAUGUUAGAAAGCUAAUCAUUGAAGGGGAUUCCAAACUGGUAGUGGCUUGGCUACUGGAUGAGGAAAGUAGGAUGUGGAAAUACAAUAAUGAGAAGAAAAAAUUCAGAUGGAUCACAAAGGGUAUGGAACUGAGAAUACAGUGGGUGAAAAGAACAGCUAAUUCGAUGGCUGAUGCACUAACCAAGCAAGAGGUUGGGAGAAUUCAAACAUUUUGGGCACAAAUGUAAUUUUAAUUAUAACUAAAGUUAAAGGGGAGAGAUAAGAGGGCUUGUCUCU